GGCACCAUGUACCAGUUGGGUGUCACUUGCUGGGUGACAGUGGCUAUCCCUGCAAGACGUGGCUUUUGACACCCUACCUCAAUCCACAACCGGGAGCACAGCUAAAGUAUAACAUAGCACACAAACAUACACGAAAUGUUGUGGAGAGAGGAAUUGGGCAGAUGAAACGUCGGUUUCAUGUACUCCACGGCGAAAUACGCCUCACCCCAGAGAGGGCAAGCACAGUCAUCACUGUAUGUGCCAUUCUACACAACCUCUGCAAGCGGAGGAACAUUCCACAGCCAGACGAUGAUGACGAUGAAGAGGACGAUGACCCCGAUGAUGAUGAUGAUGGCGCUCGACAACAUGACAAUGAAUUUGGCCGUGUGGAACCGAGUGGACUGGCAUUUAGGGAUCACUUUGUGAAUACACAUUUUAGUGAACUGGUACCAGCAGCAGGAGGGAGAGGAGAGCCAGUGGGUGCACCAAGAGGGAGAGUUGGAAGAGAAAGGGGUGGAAGAGGAAGAGCUGUGAGAGGAGGUGCAGCUGGGAGAGGAAGAGCUGUGAGAGGAGGUGCUGCUGGA